AAGACGUGUCGAACAUGAAAUUGAGGAGGAGGAGAAGGCAGCAGACAGACUGCUGUUCAGUUACCUCACCCUGGUCACCAAACUCACCAAGGACUGUAGCCUACUGGAGCUCAGCAAGUCUCAAGACCCACUCACUAACAUCCUGGACCCCACCCUGAAAAACCUGUCCCAGGAGCUGUUGAAGAAGCAGGUGGGGCUGCAGACCUUCUCAGCCGUUCAGAAGGAUGCCUCAGAGGGCGGCCCACCGCAAGAAACACAAGGCUAUGCAGGCGGUGGUUAACCCUGACAUCGCAGCCAGGACGAAACACAAAAACAAGAUAGAGGCCAAGAAGGAAGAUUGAGUUUCUGAGGCCUGGCUACAAAGCCAAGAGACAGAGGAACUCACUCAAGGACUUGGCUAUGGUGAAAUGAUAUUAUCCAUUUUCUAGCAAGGAUGGAUGAGAAGACCAGGCAAUCAUAUCCUGCUUAAUGCAGGAGCUGACAGUCACCUCUGUAUGAAUUCUUAGUCAAGGAUUUGAGUAGUCCACGAUUGUCUAAGGGGUUUACACACACAACUUUUUCAAUUAAAUACUAUAUUGUGCUGCUUUCUUUGAACAAUCUUAUUGGAAAAGUAUGUGGUCCUGUUGAACAUUACAAUAAUGCUUCUUGGGUGGGAGAUAAAUCAUUUGACCACAAAGUUGUAUAUAUUCAGUCUGAAAUCCGUGUUACUGAGGGUCGUUUUCACUGUACAAGCUCAAAUAUGCAAUAAAAGUUGUAGCAUACAAA